rnacentral:rRNA from 1 species
UAAGGAAUAUUGGUCAAUGGACGCAAGUCUGAACCAGCCAUGCCGCGUGAAGGAUGAAGGUCCUCUGGAUUGUAAACUUCUUUUAUAGGGGACGAAAUCUAUAUUUCUAUGUAGUCUGACGGUACCCUAGGAAUAAGCACCGGCUAACUCCGUGCCAGCAGCCGCGGUAAUACGGAGGGUGCAAGCGUUAUCCGGAUUCACUGGGUUUAAAGGGUGCGUAGGCGGGCAGGUAAGUCAGUGGUGAAAUCUCCGAGCUUAACUUGGAAACUGCCAUUGAUACUAUCUGUCUUGAAUAUUGUGGAGGUGAGCGGAAUAUGUCAUGUAGCGGUGAAAUGCUUAGAUAUGACAUAGAACACCAAUUGCGAAGGCAGCUCGCUACGCAUAUAUUGACGCUGAGGCACGAAAGCGUGGGGAUCAAACAGGAUUAGAUACCCUGGUAGUCCACGCCCUAAACUAUGGAUACUCGACAUACGCGAUACACUGUGU